CAGGUCAGCCACUGAGUUAUAGCCCCAGCCCGGGUCCUGCAAUUUUUAAGGCACCAAGCCUUAUAGGGACUGCUGGGGGAGUGGCUGUACUUCUGACCCACACUUAUAGGGAAAAUCAUUCCUUGAGUCCUCGUUUAUUUGUGAUGGUUAUAGACAUCCCAGGAGCAGACAGGGACCAAGGGUCUAGCACAUUUGCUAUUGGAACCCCAUAAAUCAAAUAAGGGUUCUGUAGAUAAAAAAAAACAUUGAUAUAUUUGGUGUAUGAAAUCCUCCACUUUUGAUGUUUUUGAGGGCCUUCCUCUGACCCAAAGUCUCUGAAAGCAGAAACCAGGUCACAUCGCUUAAUUGGAUAGCAUCUAGCCCAGUUCCACUUCCACAUACAAGCUUCUAGACCUACCGGGCUGUUAACUUCAAGUUGAGGAGCAUGUCUGGAACAUUAUUAUCAUUCCUUAGUGCUUAGCUCAAUGUCUGGCACAUAGUGGUCAUUUCAGUAAAUUUGUCAUAAGGGAAUUAAAAAAUGACAAUCAUGUUGAUAAGAAUGAUAGUGGGGAUGGUAAGAAAGAUUUUCUUGAAAGCAAGAAGAUGCUUUGUAACGUAUGACAUCUCCCCUCAGCCGCACGCAGUUUCCUGAAAGUCAUGGCUAUGCCUUCUUUCAUUAAAGGAGAAUGGAAGCUGAUCUUUAGAUGAGGUCCUUAUCCUUCUCCUUCCAUCAUGCCCACACCAGAAGCUAUCAGGAAUAAAGAAGGGAACAAGAGACAUCUGGUUGGGCAUGAUACCUAGUGAAGAGAUACAGAGUUCUCUGCAUGCCUGCCUUCAACUGUUGCAGCUAGGGUCAACUUCAAUGUCUUUUGCCAACAACUUAUCAGGAAAGACCAUGACUUUCUGGACUCAGAAGAUUCAAUUUUUCAGCUGUGCCACCACCAAUGGCUCUUGUCCACUGUCCAGGUCCUCAACUCCUGGUACAGAGGCUUUGGAAUAAAGUUUAACCCCUAUAUCCUCAGUACCAACCAUAUUUCUCCUCUCUCCAAAGCAAGAAUACAUCUGUACAAUAACGUGUCAUUUUAUCUGUAGAACAAGUCUAUGAGAUUGAUGGAGAAGGAUUGAUUCUGGCACAGAGAAAGGAAACCACCUGCCCAAAAUAUUUCAAGAUUCCUCAUCCCAGGGCUUUCCCCUCUGACACACAUCAUAAGGCUCAUCCAAUAAAAAGCACUCUUCAUCUCCUAAGAUCAUCUAAAAUUCUACAAGUUGAGAGAUCCUAAAAUGGUAAAAGCUGUCAAGUAAGAACAGAUUUCAAUAGACCAUCAAAUCCACCCUUUUGUUUUCAGAAGUUCUAAUGUCUAGAAAUUGAGUGUUUACUGGGAAAGAACUUGAAUCUGGAGUAAAAAGACCUAGACAGUAAGUCCUAAAUCUACCACUAAGUGGACAAUCUUGGGUAAGUCAUCUAACCUCUGUGAUUUAAUCUAUAGAAUGAAGACAAGAAUAUUUAUAAUAUUUACAUUUUUCUACUUUACACAUUUAUUGUGAGGAUUCAAUGAGAUGCUGUACAUGAAAACUGUAAAAUACUAGACAAAUGUUAAUUUUAACAUAGCCAGAUUUGCAUCUUUGGAGGCUGUUUAUAUAAUAUAAAUAGUAAUCCUUCUGUUUCAUGAGAAAGUUUUACAAGCAUAGAGAUUAGGAACUCAGUUCUAGAGUUAGGCUGCCUAGGUAGCCUUGGGCAUGCUACUUCUCUCUGAAGUCUCAGUGAAGAGGAACUAAUAACCCAUCUUAUAGGUCUGGCAUUAUUAAAUUAGAUAAUGUAUAGACAGUCCUUAAGAUGUACCUAGUAUGGAGAAAGGAAUUCAGUGAAUCUUAGUUACUAUCAUUACUGAUUUUAUUAAUGAAGAUGUGAGGCAGGGUGGUUCAAUAAGACCAGUGAGUGAUACUAGAGAUUUGAGAUAGGAAUCAAAAGGACCUGUUUCCCUACUUACACUACAGUAAGAAUUUUUUUUCUCUUCCAGAUCAUCAUGAGGAUUUUUUAAGUGUAUAAAAACUUUGAACUAGAUUAUUGAGAAACAAUAUGAAUGCAGGCUAUUUUUAAAACUGAGCUAAGUUUAUGAAGACAGAGUUCUUGUUGGAUAAACCCCAAGUAGGAACUUGGAAACAUGGAGAAAGACAAAUGAUGUGUUUGUCACUCGAGGCAAGGUAGCUAUUAAGUGCACGAAUUCAAUGCAAAUGGCAGGCAAACGGUAUGCAAACUUUGCAUUAAUUUAUAGAGUCUUAGUGUGGACUUUGCAAGCUGCACUGAACUUCUAUGAGGUUUCUAGAUUAAACUAAAUGUAAUACCUUUACAAA